rnacentral:lncRNA from 1 species
CUCAGCUUCGACAUUCUGGAGAGGCAUCAUCAAUCUUUUUGACUUGUUCAAGCAAUUUUUCCACCCAAAGCUGGGAAAUGGCGAUCUUGUCUCGUUUUGGCAUGAUGCCUGGGAUCGGAACGUACCGCCAUCAGUUGCUUUUUCUCACUUAUAUAUUUUGGCCAAAGAUCCUAUAAUCUCUAUUGCCGGCUUCCUCAAGCUUUUAAGAGGCCCAUCAUCAUCCAGCC